rnacentral:rRNA from 1 species
UACGGAGGGUGCAAGCGUUAUCCGGAUUCACUGGGUUUAAAGGGUGCGUAGGUGGGCAGGUAAGUCAGUGGUGAAAUCUCCGGGCUUAACCCGGAAACUGCCAUUGAUACUAUCUGUCUUGAAUACCGUGGAGGUGAGCGGAAUAUGUCAUGUAGCGGUGAAAUGCUUAGAUAUGACAUAGAACACCAAUUGCGAAAGCAGCUUACUAUGCUAUUAUUGACGCUGAGGCACGAAAGCGUGGGGAUCAAACAGG